GGGUUAGGGUUUCUCUUCUUCUCCAGCCGAAUCCAUCACCAAUGGCGAGCGACGGCACCGUUGGCAACGGCGUUAACAAGGUGGUGUUCGCCGCCUUCAAGCCGCAGCUUGCUGUCCCGGCGCUGAAGGCCGACGAUGCGGUGAAGUUCUACAAGGGCGCCUUCGGCGCCGAGGAGCUGAAGCGCGCCUCACACCCCAAGCGGAAGGCCGAUCAGGAGUCCCCG
rnacentral:misc_RNA from 1 species